GACGAACGCUGGCGGCGUGCUUAACACAUGCAAGUCGAACGGAAAGGCCUCUUUCGGGGGGUACUCGAGUGGCGAACGGGUGAGUAACACGUGAGUAACCUGCCCUUGACUUUGGGAUAACUUCAGGAAACUGGGGCUAAUACCGGAUAGGAGCUCCUGCUGCAUGGUGGGGGUUGGAAAGUUUCGGCGGUUGGGGAUGGACUCGCGGCUUAUCAGCUUGUUGGUGGGGUAGUGGUUACCAAGGCUUUGACGGGUAGCCGGCCUGAGAGGGUGACCGGCCACAUUGGGACUGAGAUACGGCCCAGACUCCUACGGGAGGCAGCAGUGGGGAAUAUUGCACAAUGGGUGGAAGCCUGAUGCAGCAACGCCGUGUGCGGGAUGACGGCCUUCGGGUUGGAAACCGCUUUCGCUCAUGACGAAGCUUUGUGUGACGGUAGUGGGUAAAGAAGCACCGGCUAACUACGUG
rnacentral:rRNA from 1 species